rnacentral:rRNA from 1 species
AUGGUCAGGGCGGCGGAGAGGGGCGGCGGGGAGGAAGGGGGGACGAAGAAGCUGACGCAGGGGCGCAAGAAGAUCCCGAUGGAGCGCAUCGAGGACGCGAACCGGCUGCAGGUCUGCUUCUCCAAGCGCCGCAAGGGCCUCGUCAAGAAGGCCUUCGAGCUCUCCGUGCUCUGCGGCGCGCAGGUGGCGCUCAUCGUCUUCUCCCCCGCCGGCAAGCCCUACACCUACGGCCACACCUCCGUCGACGCCGUCCUCGACCGCUUC